AACGAACGCUGGCGGCAUGCCUAACACAUGCAAGUCGAACGAACCCUUCGGGGUUAGUGGCACACGGGUGCGUAACGCGUGGGAAUCUGCCCUUUGCUUCGGAAUAACUCAGGGAAACUUGUGCUAAUACCGGAUGAUGUCUUCGGACCAAAGAUUUAUCGGCAAGGGAUGAGCCCGCGUAGGAUUAGGUAGUUGGUGGGGUAAAGGCCUACCAAGCCGACGAUCCUUAGCUGGUCUGAGAGGAUGAUCAGCCACACUGGGACUGAGACACGGCCCAGACUCCUACGGGAGGCAGCAGUGGGGAAUAUUGGACAAUGGGCGCAAGCCUGAUCCAGCAAUGCCGCGUGAGUGAUGAAGGCCCUCGGGUCGUAAAGCUCUUUUACCAGGGAUGAUAAUGACAGUACCUGGAGAAUAAGCUCCGGCUAACUCCGUG
rnacentral:rRNA from 1 species